rnacentral:rRNA from 1 species
AUUGAACGCUGGCGGCAGGCCUAACACAUGCAAGUCGAGCGGAUGAAGGGAGCUUGCUCCUGGAUUCAGCGGCGGACGGGUGAGUAAUGCCUAGGAAUCUGCCUGGUAGUGUGGGAUAACGUCCGGAAACGGGCGCUAAUACCGCAUACGUCCUGAGGGAGAAAGUUGGUGAUCUUCGGACCUCACGCUAUCAGAUGAGCCUAGGUCGGAUUAGCUAGUUGGUGGGGUAAAGGCCUACCAAGGCGACGAUCCGUAACUGGUCUGAGAGGAUGAUCAGUCACACUGGAACUGAGACACGGUCCAGACGCCUACGGGAGGCAGCAGUGGGGAAUAUUGGACAAUGGGCGAAAGCCUGAUCCAGCAAUGCCGCGUGUGUGAAGAAGGUCUUCGGAUUGUAAAGCACUUUAAGUUGGGAGGAAGGGCAGUAAGUUAAUACCUUGCUGUUUUGACGUUACCAACAGAAUAAGCACCGGCUAACUUCGUG